rnacentral:rRNA from 1 species
GAUGGGGAGAAGACAUUGUGUCUUCGAGUCGUUGAUUUCACACUGCCGAGAAAAGCCUCUAGAUAGAAAAUAGGUGCCCGUACCGCAAACCGACACAGGUAGUCAAGAUGAGAAUUCUAAGGUGAGCGAGCGAACUCUCGUUAAGGAACUCGGCAAAAUGACCCCGUAACUUCGGGAGAAGGGGUGCUCUUUAGGGUUAACGCCCAGAAGAGCCGCAGUGAAUAGGCCCAAGCGACUGUUUAUCAAAAACACAGGUCUCUGCUAAACCGUAAGGUGAUGUAUAGGGGCUGACGCCUGCCCGGUGCUGGAAGGUUAAGAGGAGUGGUUAGCUUCUGCGAAGCUACGAAUCGAAGCCCCAGUAAACGGCGGCCGUAACUAUAACGGUCCUAAGGUAGCGAAAUUCCUUGUCGGGUAAGUUCCGACCCGCACGAAAGGCGUAACGAUUUGGGCACUGUCUCAACGAGAGACUCGGUGAAAUCAUAGUACCUGUGAAGAUGCAGGUUACCCGCGACAGGACGGAAAGACCCCGUGGAGCUUUACUGUAGCCUGAUAUUGAAAUUCGGCACAGCUUGUACAGGAUAGGUAGGAGCCUUUGAAACGUGAGCGCUAGCUUACGUGGAGGCGCUGGUGGGAUACUACCCUAGCUGUGUUGGCUUUCUAACCCGCACCACUUAUCGUGGUGGGAGACAGUGUCAGGCGGGCAGUU